GGAUGUGAGGGCAAUCUGGCUGUGACAUCUGUCACCCCAUUGAUCACUAGGGCUGAUUCAACUGAUCUGGCUGGCUAGGCGGGUACCCUCUUCCUCUCUCACUGCUCCACAUGCAUCCCUCCCAACUCAGUCUAGGAGAACAACCAUCCCUGAUAGAGGAGCACCAUCAGUCAAGGGUAAAUUAGUAGCUGCACUUUCCUGCUAGAACCUCCAAAUAAGCUCUCAAUGGGAAAAGAGAAAAUUAAACUGUGACUGAAUGCCUACUAUGUAUAAGACAUUGACGCUAUUGUUUCAUAUUUAU
rnacentral:snRNA from 1 species